AAACCCUCAUUCUCUUCUCUCCCUCUCUCAGCACCUUAACUUUAGCCGCCCUUUAACCCCCGUCGUCUCUGCCUGGUCCGCCAACCGGAAAUCGCCUCACGGCGGUGGACCACCUCCAAACUCCACCAAAGUAACACCCUAUAACCAUCUUUCCCUCCCCUUUCCAAAUCCCCAAUCAUUUCCCUCAAAUCAUUCUCAAAUCGCUCGAAUCUUGGAUCUGAAACCCUAAUUUUUCCCUUUUUGAUUUCCGGCAAUUUCUGGUUUGUUUGAAACCAAGACUUCCAUUAGUCGAUUGUUCUUGUUGAGAACAGUCGAUUAAUGGUCAUCCAAGUUCAUUUUACCCCGAUGAAGCAUGUCCAAGUUCUUGACUGGUCCAAAUUUGAGGCGAGUUUUGUUAGCCAAAUCAGCAGGUUCAAAAGAUAAGAGCUGAAAUUAUGUUGUUGAUAUCAUGCUGAAACUGGUGGUUUCAUGUGUUGGACCAAGCUUUGAUGGAUAAAUCAUGUCCACAAGAGGCAGGUGUUCAUUAGGCUAUCAAUUACCUAGAAGUUCUAAUAGAAUAGUUUGAUAUGUUCUCUUUAAAGAUUAAAUUCUGGUAUAGUAGAUCAGUUUUUAUUUUAGCUUCAAAGUUCAAAAGGUACCCCACAUCAAUUAUGUUCUGUAAUGAGUGAUUUCACAAUAGUAGAAACUUCAUGAAUA